UACGAAGGGGGCAAGCGUUGUUCGGAAUUACUGGGCGUAAAGCGCACGUAGGCGGAUUUUUUAGUCAGGGGUGAAAUCCCGGGGCUCAACCUCGGAACUGCCUUUGAUACUGCAAGUCUUGAGUCCGGAAGAGGUGAGUGGAAUUCCUAGUGUAGAGGUGAAAUUCGUAGAUAUUAGGAGGAACACCAGUGGCGAAGGCGGCUCACUGGUCCGGUACUGACGCUGAGGUGCGAAAGCGUGGGGAGCAAACAGG
rnacentral:rRNA from 1 species